rnacentral:rRNA from 1 species
AGUGAAUAGAUACCCGGGUAGUCCCAGCUGUAAACGAUGCGCGUUAGGUGUAUCGGUGACCACGAGUCACCGAGGUGCCGAAAGGGAAACCGUGAAACGUGCCGCCUGGGAAGUACGGUCGCAAGGCUGAAACUUAAAGGAAUUGGCGGGGGAGCACCACAACAGGUGGAGCCUGCGGUUUAAAUCGGACUCAACGCCGGGAAGCUCACCGGAUAAGACAGCUGAAUGAUAGCCGGGUUGAAGACUCUGCUUGACUAGCUGAGAGGAGGUGCAUGGCCGUCGUCAGUUCGUACUGUGAAGCAUCCUGUUAAGUCAGGCAACGAGCGAGACCCACGCCAACAGUUGCCAGCAUGUCCUCGGGAUGGUGGGGACACUGUUGGGACCGCCUCUGCUAAAGAGGAGGAAGGAAUGGGCAACGGUAGGUCAGCAUGCCCCGAAUUAU